GUUAAAGUGGCUGAGCUAACAGGCAGCGGUUUGUAAAACCGCCAACGGACAAACAUCCCUUUAAUA
rnacentral:tRNA from 1 species